AUUGAACGCUGGCGUCAGGCUUAACACAUGCAAGUCGAACGAGUGGCGGACGGGUGAGUAAUUUCUGGGAAUCUGCCUUAUGGCGGGGGAUAACGACGGGAAACCGUCGCUAAUACCGCGUACCAUAGGAUGAGCCCACGUGGGAUUAGGUAGUUGGUGGGGUAACGGCCAACCAAGCCGACGAUCCCUAGCUGGUCUGAGAGGAUGACCAGCCAAACCGGGACGGAGACACGGCCCGGACUCCUACGGGAGGCAGCAGUGGGGAAUAUUGCGCAAUGGGGGAAACCUGACGCAGCAAUGCCGCGUGAAUGAAGAAGGCCUUCGGGUUGUAAAGUUCUUUCGGUGGCGAGGCGUUAAUCACAGAAGAAGCACCGGCUAACUCCGUGCCAGCCGCCGCGGUAAUAC
rnacentral:rRNA from 1 species